ACCAGGCCCUGAGGAAUGCCCUAAAAUGAAGCAAGGCAAUUUCUUGAUCUUAAAGAGCUGGGAUUUGAACGAAGGGGCCCCUGCAUACCAGAACUUUGGAACAACUUUACUUGAUUUUACCUUGAAUCUGUGAAAGUCAUUUAGAUGAAAACCAAGUGUAACCAGAAAUACGUAAGCUUUUAGGAUUGUAACCAUUUUAUGUGGAUGUUUAAAGACAAACUGUGAGGUCUUUUUACCUACUACUAAAGAUAUAUGGAAAUACACAUGCUCUUUACCUUAAGAUAGGGUUACAUUCUAAUACACCUAUCAUAAUUCCAAAAUACCAUAAAUCAAGAAUGCAUUUAAUACAUCUAACAAUCUGAACAUCUUCACUUAACCACACAGUACACUAUAGAGUAUCUCUGUUCACUCUCAUGAUCAUGUGGUUGACUGUAAGCUGUGCCUCACUGUUGUUUAGCAUGGCAAGAGACGAUCAUACCAUAUACCAUUAGCCUAUGAAGACCAAAAUUCAAAACUCAUAUUACACUUUCUGCUGAAUACAUACAGCCUUUGCAUCACUGUAAAGUUAAAAAGUCAUAACUGAAGCCUUCUUUAACACAAGCACCAUCAGUAGUUAAAACGAUUGAAAUUGAACACUUCCUGAACAGUUCUAAUUUUCCACAUUUUUAAACAUAUUUUUUAUUGAAUGGAAAUUUUAUUUCUAGGUACAAAAGAUGCAUCUAUUAAUUACUUUUCUACCCUAAAAUGUGAAGAACUAGUCCUAGUUUUACCCAAUACUUUCCUAAACACAUUUAAUUGGAUUUGGAAACAGAAACAGGUAUGAAUAAAAAAAAAAGAGAAUAUCCUUUUGUGAAUGUAAGGAAAGGAAUAUGGGAACAUUUAAAGUUAUUUUAAAAAUAAUGAUGGAGAUCAUUGGACAUACUUGAAAUCUUUGUAAAAAUAUAGCUGUGUAGUAUAAUUUUACCUCGCACUCACAUGGCAUGAGACAUAUUCCUCAGGUGGCUCUCAGCAGGUACCAGGCAGCCUGAGGUGGGCAAUUAUAGAAUCAGCUGCAGUUCCACCAGAGUGUUAAGUUCAGGGCUCCUUCAGGAAACCUGAGAUAUCCAGGAACAUGAGUAUUCUUGUAUUCCACCAAGUGGAGUCUUGGGAGAAAACUUUCAAAAACAUCAACAGCAAUGUCCUAGGUUUUACCUAGGUUUUAGAGAACUUAAUAUACAUCCAAAUGCCACAUUACAAUCAUGAUUAAAAUUAGAGGACUAUGUAAGAGUUUUUUAAACAUAUUUUAAUUAUAUAUUGUUAUUACGUAUAUUAUUAUAUGUGUUACAUAUUACAGAAAGUAAUAAUACAUUACCCAAUCAAGCAUAUGAGAAAAUCGGGGGUUCAAUGAUCACAUUUUGUAAUCAAUAUUUCAUAGUACAGAAAAAUAUAAAAUAUAUACUUUAUACUGUGAGAUUUAUCUCUAAGUAAUGAGAUAAUAACGAUUGUAUUUUUGUUUUCCUGAUUUUUAAAUGCUCUGCAAUGACUAUUACUUCAACGUAAUGAAAGAAAGAAAAACAGAAGAAAGAAAGAAAGAGAAAAGAAGGAAGUGAAGAAAAAAGGGAGAAAGAAAUACAGUAACUUCCGUUCAUGAUGUGGGGGUCAUUUUUGAAAACAUAUUUCAUGACAUAGCUACUUUGUCAUACUUAUAAUUUCUUCAGGUGGAAAUUUCCACCCUCAGACAUGUUAUUACCAUUACUCUUACUAUCUGCACUGAAAAUGUCCUCCAGUACACAGAACAAGAUUCUAGAUGCUACAGUAUUACAGUAUGAGGAAAAUCUAGAGCAGUUUGGGUUCCAUUGAAUUUUAAGAUAUCAAAAAAAGGGAUAUAGGGAAAAUGAUGGAUGUACACAUGUGCAUGUUUGUAUAUGUAGACUCCAAUUUAGAGAGAAUGGUUAUGGUACAGAUAUAAAUAGCAUGAUACACAUUCAUGAGUACAUGACCACAGUCUUAGGGUAACUUGUCCAUUUCUAAAAGAUGAAUGGUGAACUAACAGUACCUAUAUGAACAAGAAAAUCUAUUGUUUCCUAAGAAAUUAUAUUGCUUUAGCACAUAUUUCAGAUACAUUUCUUUUGUAAUGGAAACCUAAAUUGGCUUGGGGUGAGCAAGACACAUAGGAGACAUUACUUCUCUGAUGCUUCUUGAGGCUUGCUUACUUUGGUUUGGGCUCCAAGUAUCUUUCUGGUUUAACCAGGAGCUAGGGUCAGAGGUUUUAGGAUUAACAAAAAACACCAAACAAAUAUUAGCCUGAUAAUUAAAUAACAGACUCAGGUCCUCAAUGUAUAUUUUCUUGAGAAUCAGAGUCUCAAACAUUAAAGUCUGAUUAUUUGGACUUAUCCUAAAAUUUAUUUGCCUCCUACUAGUUGGUUAAAUAUUUAAAAAAUAUCCAGACAAAAUCCACAAGAAUUGAGCAUUUUCCUUUUUAGUAGUUUAGUCAUA